GACGAACGCUGGCGGCGUGCUUAACACAUGCAAGUCGAACGAUGAACCCGGAGCUUGCUCCGGCGGAUUAGUGGCGAACGGGUGAGUAACACGUGAGUAACCUGCCCUUGACUCUGGGAUAACUGCGGGAAACUGUAGCUAAUACCGGAUACGACCCUCGGCGGCAUCGCCAGGGGGUGGAAAGAAUUUCGGUCAAGGAUGGACUCGCGGCCUAUCAGCUAGUUGGUGAGGUAACGGCUCACCAAGGCGACGACGGGUAGCCGGCCUGAGAGGGGGACCGGCCACACUGGGACUGAGACACGGCCCAGACUCCUACGGGAGGCAGCAGUGGGGAAUAUUGCACAAUGGGCGCAAGCCUGAUGCAGCAACGCCGCGUGAGGGGUGACGGCCUUCGGGUUGUAAACCUCUUUUAGUAGGGAGGAAGCGAAAGUGACGGUACCUGCAGAAAAAGCACCGGCUAACUACGUGCCAGCCGCCGCCGUAA
rnacentral:rRNA from 1 species